GUCUACGGCCAUACCACCCUGAACACGCCCGAUCUCGUCUGAUCUCGGAAGCUAAGCAGGGUCGGGCCUGGUUAGUACUUGGAUGGGAGACCUCCUGGGAAUACUGGGUGCUGUAGGCU
ensembl:rRNA 5S_rRNA 5S ribosomal RNA